rnacentral:lncRNA from 1 species
GUUUCUCUCACAUUUCUUUGUGUUCUCCGUCCACCAAGAACACAAACUCAGUUUCUCCACUAAAACCCCACCUUUCACUACCCAUAAUAUUUUAAUCUCCAUUGUUUUUGCUUCGAAAUUGUCCCCAUAAACUUUCUUUUUCAUCAUCUUCAACCUUCAAACACAAUCUCUCACCCAGAAAAUUUCAUAUUCACCAUUUUCAUCCGUCAAGAACAUAAACCCAUAAAUCUUACCUAAAAACUUUUGUUUUCAUCAUCUGCAACAAUGUCACAAGUUGAUGGUUUUUUUGAAGAUGACAUCCCCACACCUAUUAAUCCCCCUAGUGUUAC